CCCUCUAUGUGGUCGUGAUCACCUCAGCUUUUCCGCUCAUACUAUUUCCCAGUGAAGAAUGUGAUCGAUGGAGACCUUUGUGAGCAGUUUAACUCAAUGGACCCCCAUAAGCAGAAGAGUGUGUCUGAGGAAUUUGGACCGCACACCUCCAGAGUUGUCUAAGAAACUGGAAGACAUCCGGACACGCUAUGCCUUCUAGUGUCUUCUAAUCUGGCUGGCACACCAUGAGAAAAAUUUUUUUUUUUUCAGGCUUCCCAUGGCUGUGGUCUCAAAACUUUCCUACUACUAGUAUAGGAGCAACAUUUUGGCGACAGCUGAAGGAAGUCCCCCCUUUAACUGGGGCCAGCUGGGAGUUGUCACAGUCCCAGUGGUCAGUGACCUUGUCCUGCUUGAAAUGACUGUUAGGACUGUGCUCAGUACAAAGCAUCUCAGUUUUAUUUGGUUCAUACUAAGUGGUUGCAUAGUGACAGAUAUUUUCUGAGGAAUGUUUUCAUGCAAAGGACUACAUCCGCUUGUAUACAGGAGUGUCUUUUAUAUGUAUAGACUUGAAAAAUGUCUAUUACUGAUUUUGUAGCUACCACAAUGCAAAUUAAAUCCACAUUUUGUUGUAUGAAUCAGUCUGCAUAAAACAUUCCAUCAUUCAUG